CAAUCCUGGCGACGAGCGGCGAACGGGUGAGUAAUGCUUGGGAAUCUGCCGAUUAGUGGGGAACAACCAGCCGAAAGGUUGGCUAAUACCGCAUACGCCCUACGGGGGAAAGCGGGGGAUCGUAAGACCUCGCGCUAAUGGAUGAGCCCAAGUCGGAUUAGCUUGUUGGUAGGGUAACGGCCUACCAAGGCGACAAUCCGUAGCUGGUCUGAGAGGACGACCAGCCACACUGGGACUGAGACACGGCCCAGACUCCUACGGGAGGCAGCAGUGGGGAAUAUUGGACAAUGGGGGAAACCCUGAUCCAGCGACGCCGCGUGUGUGAAGAAGGCCUGCGGGUUGUAAAGCACUUUUAGUGGGGAUGAAAAGCCUAGGGAUAACACCUCUGGGUCUUGACCUAACCCACAGAAAAAGCACCGGCUAACUCUGUGCCAGCAGCCGCGGUAAU
rnacentral:rRNA from 1 species